AUUGAACGCUGGCGGCAGGCCUAACACAUGCAAGUCGAGCGGAGCGGCGGACGGGUGAGUAAUGCCUAGGAAUCUGCCUGGUAGUGGGGGAUAGCGUCCGGAAACGGGCGCUAAUACCGCAUACUAUCAGAUGAGCCUAGGUCGGAUUGGCUAGUUGGUGGGGUAAAGGCCUACCAAGGCGACGAUCCGGAACGGGUCUGAGAGGAGGACCAGUCAAAUGGGAACGGAGACACGGUCCAGACUCCAACGGGGGGCAGAAGUGGGGAAUUUUGGACAAGGAGCGAAAGCCUGAUCCAGCCAUGCCGGGUGUGGGUAGAAGGUUUCCGGUUGGUAAAGCACGUUAAGUUGGGAGGCGUUACCAGCAGAAUAAGCACCGGCUAACUUCGUGCCAGCCGCCGCGGUAAUUC
rnacentral:rRNA from 1 species